GAUGAACGCUGGCGGCGUGCCUAAUACAUGCAAGUCGAGCGAACAGACGAGGAGCUUGCUCCUCUGACGUUAGCGGCGGACGGGUGAGUAACACGUGGAUAACCUACCUAUAAGACUGGGAUAACUUCGGGAAACCGGAGCUAAUACCGGAUAAUAUAUUGAACCGCAUGGUUCAAUAGUGAAAGACGGUUUUGCUGUCACUUAUAGAUGGAUCCGCGCCGCAUUAGCUAGUUGGUAAGGUAACGGCUUACCAAGGCGACGAUGGGUAGCCGACCUGAAAGGGUGAUCGGCCACACUGGAACUGAGACACGGUCCAGACUCCUACGGGAGGCAGCAGUAGGGAAUCCUCCGCAAAGGGCGAAAGCCUGACGGAGCAACGCCGCGUGAGUGAUGAAGGUCUUCGGAUCGUAAAACUCUGUUAUUAGGGAAGAACAAAUGUGUAAGUAACUAUGCACGUCUUGACGGUACCUAAUCAGAAAGCCACGGCUAACUACGUG
rnacentral:rRNA from 1 species